GAUGAAGAACGUAGCGAAAUGCGAUACGUAAUGUGAAUUGCAGAAUUCAGUGAAUCAUCGAAUCUUUGAACGCACAUUGCGCCCGCCAGUAUUCUGGCGGGCAUGCCUGUUCGAGCGUCAUUUCAACCCUCAAGCACAGCUUGGUGUUGGGACUCGCGUUAAUUCGCGUUCCUCAAAUUGAUUGGCGGUCACGUCGAGCUUCCAUAGCGUAGUAGUAAAACCCUCGUUACUGGUAAUCGUCGCGGCCACGCCGUUAAACCCCAACUUCUGAAUGUUGACCUCGGAUCAGGUAGGAAUACCCGCUGAACUUAAGCAUAUUAAUAAGCGGAGGA
rnacentral:misc_RNA from 1 species